rnacentral:sRNA from 1 species
GACCAGGCCAAGCAGGACCAGCCAAAUAAGGACUUGUUUUUCACAAGGAGCAGAAGGCGGAAACCGGCACCAUCCCUGGGGCGCGGGACCUCGCAGCUCCCUACAGUUAGGAUUGGGAAUUACAUGCGAGACAGAAAGCUCUAGACCUAGGAGUGAAGUGACUGGUGGAGCGUGAAGAAGGGCGUGGAAGGUGAACUUCACUGAGAAGGGACCUUGACAGAAACAUCACUAUUUUCCUGAAGCUGGAGGAUGACUUUCAAGAAGCAAUAUGGUGUAACAGGAGUUGGAGCCCUUUGCCGGUAGACCAAUUCGAUGAACUGAGUUUAUUUACUGAGUUUCUACUCUGAAGAAGUCACCUUGAUAGGUGCUGGGAACGACAGAUGGCAAAACACACCCAGCUAGACUCAUGGAGGUCUCGCUGUAGCUGCAAGACAGCUGUCAUUCAACUGAGCUCACCAAUCAGAAAUGCAGUGCUGUUUAAUAUACAGAGACAUCUGGCAGUCAGAUGACCCAACUGGGAGGCUGGCUUAGAAAAAAACGUGAAUGGCUUCCCUGGGAUUGGAAGUUGGCCUGAUGUAAGAAUAAUGAC